rnacentral:rRNA from 1 species
AGAGUUUGAUCCUGGCUCAGAACGAACGCUGGCGGCGCGUUUUAAGCAUGCAAGUCGAACGAUAGAAUUACUUCGGUAGUUUGAAAGUGGCGAACGGGUGAGUAACACGUAGAUAAUCUGCCUCUGUGUUGGGGAUAGCUCAUGGAAACAUGGGGUAAUACCGAAUACGAUCCUGGGACUAGCAAGGUACCAGGAAGAAAGGUGCUACGGCAUCGCACAGAGAUGAGUCUGCGGCUCAUUAGUUAGUUGGUAAGGUAACGGCUUACCAAGGCAAUGAUGAGUAGCCGGCCUGAGAGGGUGACCGGCCACACUGGGACUGAGACACGGCCCAGACUCCUACGGGAGGCAGCAGCUAAGAAUCUUCCGCAAUGGGCGAAAGCCUGACGGAGCGACGCCGCGUGAACGAUGAAGGCCGAGAGGUUGUAAAGUUCUUUUCUCAGGGAGGAAUAACCAUGGUAGGGAAUGACCGUGGGAUGACGUUAACUGAGGAAUAAGCCCCGGCUAAUUACGUGCCAGCAGCCGCGGUAACACGUAAGGGGCAAGCGUUGUUCGGAAUCAUUGGGCGUAAAGGGUGCGCAGGCGGUUAUUCAAGCUUGAUGUA